GUCCUAGCCGUAAACGAUGGACACUAGGUGUUGGUGGUAUCAACCCCGCCAGUGCCGUAGCUAACGCAUUAAGUGUCCCGCCUGGGGAGUACGGCCGCAAGGCUAAAACUCAAAGGAAUUGACGGGGGCCCGCACAAGCAGCGGAGCGUGGGGUUUAAUUCGACGCAACGCGAAGAACCUUACCAGGGCUUGACAUGACCAGGAUCCCGGCGGAAACGUCGGUUCCCCGCAAGGGGCCUGGCCACAGGUGUUGCAUGGCUGUCGU
rnacentral:rRNA from 1 species